rnacentral:rRNA from 1 species
UACGUAGGGUGCAAGCGUUAAUCGGAAUUACUGGGCGUAAAGCGUGCGCAGGCGGUCGUGUAAGACAGAUGUGAAAUCCCCGGGCUUGACCUGGGAACUGCAUUUGUGACUGCAUGGCUGGAGUGCGGCAGAGGGGGAUGGAAUUCCGCGUGUAGCAGUGAAAUGCGUAGAUAUGCGGAGGAACACCGAUGGCGAAGGCAAUCCCCUGGGCCUGCACUGACGCUCAUGCACGAAAGCGUGGGGAGCAAACAGG